rnacentral:piRNA from 1 species
UGCUUGUUACCCGCGGGGCUUCUCCUC